CUCCCUCUCUUUUCCUCCCUUUCUCCUCCCUCCUCCCUUCUCUUACCUACCUCCUCAGACACCAAACCUACCUACUUUUUCAAAAAGCCGGGUGGGCAGCUGCCCACCCGGCUCCAUACGAUGGCCGCCACUGCCACUAUUAAAAGAUUAGCGGGAAACAAAAGAUCACUGUAAUUAGUAUUCCAUUCAUAACAUGACCGAUUGUCUCUAGUGAAGCAGAAAAACUGUGGCAAUUGCCAGAUAUUGGGCCGAAUCCCCAAAGUCUUUGGGCCGGACUGAACGGGCGUCUAGGCGCCAGGGCGACGAUUAGCCGUCACACGCUUCCGCUAAAUGAGGCAAUGAAUAGCCGACUCGCACCCUCUGCACCGGGACCGAGACACGCCCUCCUGCCGGGUCCCCCUGGCGCCCCCUCUGUCUCCGUCGCAGCAAGUUAUAGAGAGAGAGAGAGAGAGAGAGCUUCACGUGGGAGUCCCACACAACCCUCUACCACCCCCCCCCCCCUCAACACGUGGCGCUGGACUGGCACCCAACGAUCCUCGCUGGACCUCGGCCCGACCCCCGACCGCACAUGUGUUCCUACGCAGGAACGAGAACGUGUUCAGAUUGUGCUCCUCUGAGGUGGACGAGUAAUAAAUGAAAAUCGAGAGGUCUGUUCAGGGGGUUGCGGAAGGAUGGGCAGGCAGGGGGCGGGCGGCAGCGGCCCAGUACCAGGAAGAGGCCAGCCCAGCCGGAGCAGACGCAGCGGGGGCGGCGGGGGCGCCCCGAACACGACAGGACACUCAUGUCAGCCGCGCCGGCCCUCCACAUAUCAAGUUGCGCUUCACACGGAAUCCCCAGUACGGGACGCAACACCGCGGGAAAAGGGGACCCAGUGAGAACAAAAGUGCCCAAAAGAUAUUUUGGGCGUCCAAGAUAACUGACUACAUCGAACAUUAUUAGACCCGUAAUGCCUACCAUAACGACCCUAGAGGACUUGCUCUCCUGCUCCACUCUCUGUUAACAACCCAGCGGCUAAAAUAAAAGAAGAAAUGGACAUCGACUCGCUUGGUCUACGCUGAGCGCGAUCAGGCGCGUAUUAAGGGGGGGGGGGCGAUCGCCCCCCUGUCGUCUCUAGACAGCCGCCUGAAAGGUAGGCAAUUUGUGCCACAAAACCCCUGUGUGUAGGCAACCGACAGUGCAUCGCCUCCCCUGUCAGCCGGACCUUAAUCCGCCACUGAGCGCGAUACUACACCAGGUUAGUGGUUCGCCCCCUCUCACUUCUGCAUGAUACUGUACCGCCAUGCACGCGUGCUGCGGUGUUGCCUACUCGCUGGCGCGCCACGCUCAGAGACGAUAGGCGGUCGAAUCACUCCAUGAAGCGGGCCUCACCCAUGCUCACACUUAUUCAACCGAUAGUGCCAUGAUCUAGUGCGUAAUUAGUGCAAUCGGAUCGUCCUAAAGUUAGAAUUAGUUCGCAUUUAUGUACCCUUCUAAUUCGUAAUUCAAAUUGGGCGAGGCCAGCUUCACAGUAGCCUCACCCAAAUUGUGCAAAGGUCAAACAAAGGCCCAUAUUUUAGUACUCAAUUAUUGCAAUCGAUCAGUACUUAUAUAGUGCACACAUCCUUAGGGUACAUUAGCCGCCCAAAAGCGGGUGAGUCAGGUGAUAUAUAUGGCUAGGGCUACACGGGCUGUCGAACUAAACCGAUUUCGAAGUUGAGGCUUCGUGACGCUGACCCCUCUCCCCAGACCUAAUUACCCCUACCAAUAGAUGGAGUGCGAAGUGCGCUAUAGUGUUUUGAACAGUUUUGAACCCUGCUGGCGCCAUGGAGUCCCCGGCGCCUCAGGCGCGCGGUGGUGGCGAUAUACCGAGAGCGAUAAUCGCGCCCUGGAAUGACUUCCGCUGCCCUCCUCUCUCUCUCUCUCGCGGUAGAUUCCAGGGCUCGCGUUUCGUGCCUCACUUCCCUACGCAAUUAGGCCCCCCCUCUCUCCUUUCUUCUUCCUUCCGCCCAGCCCGAGCCAGCCGCCGAGAGGCGCCGCUGCGUCUUGAGCCGCGCCGCUAAAA